GACGCAUCUUAAUACUACGAAUUUACAUAGGUGUAUAUAUCACAUCUCUUCAAAAUCCAAUAUAUUGUGGGACAGAGGGAGUGCAUGGUAUGUAGCUUCAUGGGGUCAAUUUUCCAGAUUAAAUGCAUAGAAAAGGAACAGUCAAUUCAGGUUAUGCCAAGCAUUAUGGUGUUUGCUAAUUUCAAUGGAGUGUGUAUUAUUCAGGAUAUGAGCUGAAAAACAGGACAGGGGGUGGCCAUUGUCCAGAAAGCACAUCAGACACAAAGGGGCUGUUUUAAUUUUUUUUUUGGGUAAAACUUGGCUUAGUUUAAUUUUUUUAUCUCUCAACUCUUUGAGCAAGCUAACAAAUAAAUGGUAGUAUGGAUAAAUGCUUAUAUUGACUAUUUUACAAAACUACUGUCGUGGGGGCGGAUGUUAUCUAACUUCAGAAGAUAAAGUGAUGGGCUUUAUUGUGUUUUGUUGUUGAGGGGAAAAAAGGGUCUGAGAUGUGGUAAUAGAAAUUUUUUUUUCCCUUGAGAUCAAUACUUGUAUAAAAAAAAUAUAGUAAAAGUACUAUAUCCUCCCUCCAUUCCAAAUAUAAGCAUUUGUAGAAUUCAAAAUUUUAUACUAAAAAUUCCAAUACAGGGGAAUUUAAGAAUUUUUUUCGCCAAUCAUAUUGUUAGGAGAGGAAUCGAAGCAAGUCAAGAUUUAUAAUUUGAGUACUAGAGGGGUGACUAAGACUAGAAUGGAAUCUUUCUCUUUUUCUCAAUAGUUGAGAAAAAACAAGAAAUGUUAUAUUUAGUAAUAGAGGAUUACUAUUUAAGGACUAUGAACGAUAAAGACGCCGUGGUCAGUUUCCACGUAAUAUUGAUGAGAUGUCAUAAUCCUCAAGUCAGUCAAUCUUAGAUUCCUAAGGAGCAACGAAUUGACCUUAGGAAUCCAAGUGAAAAUAUCAAAAACUGGAUUAAGGCACACACAUGUCCAUGACAUAUUAACAGCUUCUUCAAGUCUCAUGCAUGACUCAGUCACACCAUGUGACCUACGCUGAUCACGCAUUGACAGGGAGUGCUGACACUCUGAGUCUAAAUCACAUUGAAUUCGAUGAAAAUCCUAGUAGAUAUUUGUGGUUACCUAGUCAGCUAAUCUACAGGUUUUGCGUACAAUGCCUUGGACUACUCAUAUCUGUACGUGCUUCAUAAUUUGUUGAACUGCAUAAAAUGGCCGAUGUAAAACACACAGCUUGAAUUUCUUGAAAUUUUAUACUAUUUAUAGCAUAGUAUUUUUACGGUAUCUCCAGCAGCGGAGCUAGCUCCCGGGCAGGUUGGGCGUUUGUCCAUGCUUUCUCCACUACGACCGAUAGCUAUGGGUUACUGUCGACGAAAAACGCUAUCAGUCGCUCGGGUUAACGGCGUCGCUGAGUACCUGUUAAGCUAUCAGGAGGUAUGGAACUUCAUAUUAUAGAAUUUGACGCCUCUUACAACUCAGGUAUCGCAAUAACUGUAAAAUUUGUUUAUUUAAAUAUAUUUAAUCCAUUUGGCUGGACUAGCAUAAUAGAUUUCAGAUAAAUUACAUAAAAUUGUUCCUGGUGUUAAAUUUAGCAGUUGAACCGUAGAAUAAAUUACACCAUCUCGCCUGUACCUAACCAACGGACAUUCAAGAGACAAACCGGAGUAGACAACAGCAAUCUUUAACAAAAAGGAAAAGAAAAAAACGUUGAUAGUUACAACAGGGCGCUGCAAUAUAUGUGCACAAACGCCCAGUAACUAAUUAGGAAUCAACCGCAAUAAAGGAAUGCAUCCUUGUUCUAGGUAUUUACUCCCAAUACAUAGUUUGCUCCAGAGAGUGAGAGGCAGAGAGUUGCAUAGCAGCAUAAGUAGCAGCCAUCGGCAGACAUUGGCAGCUCGAUGGCAGAGAACACAAACCAUACCCCCACAUAAGCCAUGUGUUUUGGCUAGACAGGUUGGACGAUAUCUCAAAGAACAAACUCACCGAGUUGCUCGCAUAGAUGUUGGUGGCUAAUCGGAAUGGAAGGCCUUUGGGAUAUCGCUCGUGCAUCGGUGGAUUCUCAGAUUACACCGUACCUUUUCUCGCAUGGAUGGUGCACCUGCUUCUGCAUUCAGGGAUCAAAACUUCACGGACAAACAUACUUGAAAGUAGCUGCUGGAGCUGUGAUGUGCGACGACAGAGGAAGAUACAAGACAGCGGCAGCCCAAUUUUGUACGCAAGGCGAGAUGAUGGUGGAAGUUAUGGCAUUGCUGUAGAGCAGCUGAAUUUACAGAUCCGGAUCCUCCCUGCGGUAAUUCAUAGGAACACUGUGUCAACAGUUCAUCGUGUAUACCGCUACAAUGAAGUGAUGUAACACUGUAGCAAAUUAGCUUCUCUAUAGUUUAUUCCUCAAUGCAGAGGAUCUCGAUCCUGAACUGAUAGUUAAGCUAGGAGGAACGAAAGUCAUCAUCGAAACAUAUGCUAUGGAAUUGGCGAGGAUGGUGUAUUUUGAAACAGUAGGAGCUAAACCGGUCUAUCAUUGGACCAUGAUCUAA